rnacentral:rRNA from 1 species
UACGUAGGAUGCGAGCGUUAUCCGGAUUUAUUGGGUGUAAAGGGCGUGUAGCCGGGUUGACAAGUCAGAUGUGAAAUCCUGCGGCUUAACCGCAGAACUGCAUUUGAAACUGUUGAUCUUGAGUACUGGAGAGGCAGACGGGAUUCCUAGUGUAGCGGUGAAAUGCGUAGAUAUUAGGAGGAACACCAGUGGCGAAGGCGGCUUACUGGACAGUAACUGACGUUGAGGCUCGAAAGCGUGGGGAGCAAACAGG